rnacentral:lncRNA from 1 species
ACGGAUCCUGGAGUAAGAUAAUAACACCAAUCCUCUGCUACUCCUUGUAAUGACUAAUAAAAUGCCCUGAUGAAAAUGUCAUGAUUCGGGACAUCUGGAGGUUUCAUUGAAGAGCAAAUGGUGUAGAAUUCCUCCAAAUGUCUAUGUGGGCAUUCACCUACAAAACCAUGAAACUUAGGCAGCCAAUGUAUCAGUCCAGUGUUGAAAACACAACGAAUAUCCUCCUCAUCAAGUGGAAACGGCUCCCUAGGAGCACUCUCAUGAGAUGGAGGAGGAAUCAUACUGCUCUCAACAUAGAAAUCAGCAGAAUAUACAUGAGAAGCAAUAUCAGAGUUAAAUGCAGAAGGAGAAUCAUAGUCAUGACAUAGGCAGAAGAAGCAGUAUUCACAAAAUCAAGAUAGGUGUACAUGUAGAGAGAAAGAAGGGGGAUAAGAAGAAUGCAAUGAAAAUAUGCAACUAAAGCUUAUCUAAAUGCAACACACAAUGACGAACACAUACAAACAGAACGACACACUCACAACACAAGAAAAAACACAACACACACUAACACAACAAA